UACGUAGGGGGCAAGCGUUGUCCGGAAUUACUGGGCGUAAAGCGUGCGCAGGCGGUUCGCCAAGUCAGGUGUGAAAUCCCCGGGCUUAACCUGGGAAUUGCGCUUGAAACUAGCGAGCUUGAGUGUGGCAGAGGGGGGUGGAAUUCCACGUGUAGCAGUGAAAUGCGUAGAGAUGUGGAGGAACACCGAUGGCGAAGGCAGCCCCCUGGGUCAACACUGACGCUCAUGCACGAAAGCGUGGGGAGCAAACAGG
rnacentral:rRNA from 1 species